AGACUGGACUUCUGGUGAAAGAAGAGACAACUACAAAACUUCACCUGGUCAAAGAAAGCAUGGAGAAAAUCAAGUACAGAGCACAAGUCCAACAGGAAAGCUUACAAGCAGAGCAGAAUAAAAGGUGGUGUGGGACAGACCAAAAAAUUACCACUGUUGCUCAUCAACUCAGAAUUUCCAUCAUCAGCCAGAAACUACAGGGAGAAAGGAGCAGCACACACAAGAAACAAGUGUGUGAUGCAUCAGGAACAAGAGAGCAUUUUAUUUUUCUAAAGCUAAGCAAGUAGCUAUUAAAUCUGCAACUUCUCUGAAAUAAUGUGCACAGAAGAUUAACAGAACUCAUUUGUCUAUGGAUGAAGAGGGCAGCAGCACCAUGUUCCUGCAAACACAGCUGUGAUGUUCAGCACAGACACUCAACACUUCAGUGCUGCCAUUAAAAACCCACCAGGACCUGCA